AUUUAGAGAUGUUAUAAACGGAACAUACCCCCACACCAUAGUGUAUUCCCCCACACUAUGGUGGGGGGGUAUGUUCCGUUUGUAACAUCUCUAAAUAUUGA
rnacentral:pre_miRNA from 1 species